UCAGAAAAUAAACAUUAGAAAAAUUCUCUCCAUUCUCUAGUCUUCAGAAGCUCUGUGUCUCAACCAAGGAGGAGAAGAAGUCAUGCAAUACAUCAAGAUCCUAGCCGCCAUCCACCCUUGUGUCGUCCCUAGAAGAUUGCUUGCUUUCAAGGAUCUUCAAGUUCUUCGUCUCAAGGCUUGUCAUCCAUUUUUCACGGUGUGUACCCUCAAUCCCCGGCUAGAACGAUCCCUACUUAUUCUAUACUGACAACUACAUUUUGCAGAGUUAAAUUGCGCGCUUCCUUUUAGCGUACCAUUUGGAAGCUUCGAACUCCUCAGAUCCAGAGUCCUUAAUCAACUCAUGAUCAUCAUUUACCUUUAAGCAUAAUGAUCUCAUCUUACGAAAUUGCAGAAAAUCAAUCACUUACUUAAGCCACCAUCACAUAGUUAUUGUUGUUGUUAUUUAUUUAUUUAUUUAUUGUGUUCUCAGGAUGACCAAUGUGUAUGAAUAAGAAUAAUGGUCAACCUCGAUAUGGUCAAUUGUACUUUGAUAUCUUACAUGUAAGACUCCAAAUCCUAACAUUCGGUUA